CCUACGGGAGGCAGCAGUCGAGAAUCAUUCACAAUGGGGGAAACCCUGAUGGUGCGACGCCGCGUGGGGGAAUGAAGGUCUUCGGAUUGUAAACCCCUGUCAUGUGGGAGCAAAUUAAAAAGAUCGUACCACAAGAGGCAGAGACGGCUAACUCUGUGCCAGCAGCCGCGGUAAUACAGAGGUCUCAAGCGUUGUUCGGAAUCACUGGGCGUAACGCGUGCGUAGGCUGUUUCGUAAGUCGUGUGUGAAAGGCGCGGGCUCAACCCGCGGACGGCACAUGAUACUGCGAGACUAGAGUAAUGGAGGGGGAACCGGAAUUCUCGGUGUAGCAGUGAAAUGCGUAGAUAUCGAGAGGAACACUCGUGGCGAAGGCGGGUUCCUGGACAUUAACUGACGCUGAGGCACGAAGGCCAGGGGAGCGAAAGGGAUUAGAUACCCCAGUAGUC
rnacentral:rRNA from 1 species